rnacentral:rRNA from 1 species
UCCGUAGGUGAACCUGCGGAAGGAUCAUUACCUAGAGUUGCGGGCUUUGCCUGCCAUCUCUUACCCAUGUCUUUUGAGCACCUUCGUUUCCUCGGCGGGUCCGCCCGCCGUCAGGACACUUCAAAACCACUUGCAGUUGCAAUCAGCGUCCGAAAAAACUUUAAUAGUUACAACUUUCAACAACGGAUCUCUUGGUUCUGGCAUCGAUGAAGAACGCAGCGAAAUGCGAUAAGUAGUGUGAAUUGCAGAAUUCAGUGAAUCAUCGAAUCUUUGAACGCACAUUGCGCCCCUUGGUAUUCCAUGGGGCAUGCCUGUUCGAGCGUCAUUUGUACCCUCAAGCUCUGCUUGGUGUUGGGUGUUUGUCUCGCCUCCGCGCGUAGACUCGCCUCAAAACAAUUGGCAGCCGGCGUAUUGAUUUCGGAGCGCAGUACAUCUCGCGCAUCGCACUCACAACGUCAGCGUCCAGAAGUGAAUUUUUUACACUCUUGACCUCGGAUCAGGUAGGGAUACCCGCUGAACUUAAGCAUAUCAAUAAGCGGAGGA